GACGAACGCUGGCGGCGUGCUUAACACAUGCAAGUCGAACGGAAAGGCACUGCUUUUGUGGGGUGCUCGAGUGGCGAACGGGUGAGUAACACGUGAGUAACCUGCCCUAGACUUUGGGAUAACUUCAGGAAACUGGGGCUAAUACCGGAUAGGAGCUCAUGCUGCAUGGAGGGGGUUGGAACGUUUGGGCGGUUGGGGAUGGAUUCGCGGCUUAUCAGCUAGCUGGUGGGGUAGUUGCUUGCCAAGGCUUUGACGGGUCGCCGGCCUGAGAGGGUGACCGGCCACAUUGGGACUGAGAUACGGCACAGACUCCUACUGGAGGCAGCAGUGGAGAAUAUUGCACAAUGGGCGGAAGCGUGAUGCAGCAACGCCGCGUGCGGGAUGACGUCCUUCGGGUUGUAAACCGCUUGCGCCUGUGACGAAGCGUGAGUGACUGUAAUGGGUAAAGAAGCACCGGCGAACUACG
rnacentral:rRNA from 1 species